rnacentral:rRNA from 1 species
GUGGAUUAGAUACCCUGGUAGUCCACGCCCUAAACGAUGUCAACUAGAUGUUGGAAGGGUUAAACCUUUUAGUGUCGCAGCUAACGCGUGAAGUUGACCGCCUGGGGAGUACGGCCGCAAGGCUAAAACUCAAAGGAAUUGACGGGGACCCGCACAAGCGGUGGAUGAUGUGGAUUAAUUCGAUGCAACGCGAAAAACCGGACCUACCCUUGACAUGUCAGGAAUUCCGAAGAGAUUUGGAAGUGCCCGAAAGGGAACCUGAACACAGGUGCUGCAUGGCUGUCGACAACU